CUCCCAAACCCAAUGUGAACGUUACCAAACUGUUGCCUCGGCGGGAUCUCUGCCCCGGGUGCGUCGCAGCCCCGGACCAAGGCGCCCGCCGGAGGACCAACCAAAACUCUUUUGUAUACCCCCUCGCGGGUUUUUAUAUAUCUGAGCCAUCUCGGCGCCUCUCGUAGGCGUUUCGAAAAUGAAUCAAAACUUUCAACAACGGAUCUCUUGGUUCUGGCAUCGAUGAAGAACGCAGCGAAAUGCGAUAAGUAAUGUGAAUUGCAGAAUUCAGUGAAUCAUCGAAUCUUUGAACGCACAUUGCGCCCGCCAGUAUUCUGGCGGGCAUGCCUGUCCGAGCGUCAUUUCAACCCUCGAACCCCUCCGGGGGGUCGGCGUUGGGGAUCGGCCCUUUACGGGGCCGGCCCCGAAAUACAGUGGCGGUCUCGCCGCAGCCUCUCCUGCGCAGUAGUUUGCACACUCGCAUCGGGAGCGCGGCGCGUCCAUUGCCGUUAAACACCCAACUUUCUGAAAUGUUGACCUCGGAUCAGGUAGGAAUACCCGCUGAACUUAAGCAUAUCAAUAAGCGGAGGA
rnacentral:rRNA from 1 species